AGUGAACGCUGGCGGCGUGCCUAAUACAUGCAAGUCGAACGGAGAUUAAGUAGCUUGCUAUUUAAUCUUAGUGGCGCACGGGUGAGUAAUAUAUAGCUAACUUGCCCAUUACUAAGGGACAACAGUUGGAAACGACUGCUAAUACCUUAUACUCCGUAUCUAUAUAAGUAGAUACGGGAAAGUUUUUCGGUAAUGGAUAGGGCUAUAUCGUAUCAGCUAGUUGGUAAGGUAAUGGCUUACCAAGGCUAUGACGCGUAACUGGUCUGAGAGGAUGAUCAGUCACACUGGAACUGGGACACGGUCCAGACUCCUACGGGAGGCAGCAGUAGGGAAUAUUGCUCAAUGGCGGAAACCCUGAAGCCGCAACGCCGCGUGGAGGAUGACACUUUUCGGAGCGUAAACUCCUUUUCUUGGGAAAGAAUUAUGCCGGUACCCAAGGAAUAAGCACCGGCUAACUCCGU
rnacentral:rRNA from 1 species